rnacentral:rRNA from 1 species
GAUCAUGGCUCAGGAUGAACGCUGGCGGCGUGCCUAAUACAUGCAAGUCGAACGAGAGUGCUGCACUCUAGUGGCGAACGGGUGAGUAACACGUAGGUAACCUGCCUUACAGUUGGGAUACCCUGGCGAAAGCUAGGCUAAUACCGAAUAAUUGGAUUGGAGGCAUCUCCGAUCUCUAAAAGGGGCCUUUAAAGCCUCGCUGAAUGAUGGACCUGCGGCGCAUUAGCUAGUUGGUGAGAUAACAGCCCACCAAGGCGAGGAUGCGUAGCCGACCUGAGAGGGUGAACGGCCACACUGGAACUGAGACACGGUCCAGACUCCUACGGGAGGCAGCAGUAGGGAGUUUUCGGCAAUGGGGGCAACCCUGACCGAGCAACGCCGCGUGAAUGAAUGAAGGUCUUCGGAUUGUAAAGUUCUGUUAUAAGGGAAAAAUGAUAUGGUGAGGAAAUGCUCCAUAUUUGAUGGUACCUUAUUAGAAAGCCACGGCUAACUACGUGCCAGCCGCGGC